CAGUAGCCGCGGUAAUACAGAGGGUGCGAGCGUUAAUCGGAUUUACUGGGCGUAAAGCGUGCGUAGGCGGCUUCUUAAGUCGGAUGUGAAAUCCCCGAGCUUAACUUGGGAAUUGCAUUCGAUACUGGUUAGCUAGAGUGUGGGAGAGGAUGGUAGAAUUCCAGGUGUAGCGGUGAAAUGCGUAGAGAUCUGGAGGAAUACCGAUGGCGAAGGCAGCCAUCUGGCCUAACACUGACGCUGAGGUACGAAAGCAUGGGGAGCAAACAGGAUUAGAUACCCCAGUAGUCCCUGUCUCUUAUAC
rnacentral:rRNA from 1 species